GCAUGGCUAAGACAUGCAAGUCGAACGGACUUUAUGAUUGGGUAACCUUGAAUAAAGUUAGUGGCGAAAGGGUGAGGAAUAGAUAGGAACGUGCCUUUGGCUUCGGAAUAGCGUCCCGAAAGGGGCGGUAAUACCGGAUAACGUCUACGGACCAAAGAUUUAUCGGCCUUAGAGCGGCCUAUCUCCUAUCAGCUUGUUGGUGGGGUAAUGGCCUACCAAGGCAACGACGGGUAGCGGGACUGAGAGGUUGGCCCGCCACAUCGGGACUGAGACACUGCCCGGACCUCCACGGAGGGCUGCAGUAACGAAUAUUGGGCAAUGGGCGAAAGCCUGACCCAGCAAUGCCGCGUGUAGGAUGAAGCCCCUCGGGGUGUAAACUACUGUCAGGGGUUAGAAAGCUACGGUUGAUCAACCCCAGAGGAAGUCACGGCUAACUUCGUGCCAGCAGCCGCGGUAAUACGAAGGUGGCGAGCGUUAUUCGGAAUUACUGGGCUUAAAGCGCACGCAGGCGGAAUAUUUAGCGUCUUGUGAAAUCCCCCGGCUUAACCGGGGAAUUGCAGGGCGAACUGGUAUUCUUGAGGCAAGUAGGGGUGCAUGGAACUCUUGGUGGAGCGGUGGAAUGCGUAGAUAUCAAGAGGAACGCCGAUGGUGAAGACAGUGCACUGGGCUUGUACUGACGCUGAGGUGCGAAAGCGUGGGGAGCGAACGGGAUUAGAUACCCCGGUAGUCCAAGCCGAAAACGAUGCCUACUAGGUCGUGGUUGUUCUGACACACUCACGGCCGAAGCUUUAGUGUCUAGUAGUCCGCCUGGGGAGUACGGUCGCAAGGCUAAUACGUCAAAGGUAUUGACGUGGGCUCACACAAUCGUUGGAUCAUGUGGAUUAAUUCGAAGCAUACGCGCAGAACCUUACCUGGGUUUGACAUGUAUGGAUGCCUGCUGUGAAAACAGUUAGGUUGCCUUCGGGUGAAACUUACACAGGUGCUGCAUGGCUGUCGUCAGCUCGUGUCGUGAGAUGUCGGGUUAAGUCCUUUAACGAGCGAAACCCUUGCCGUUAGUUGCCAGCGGGUCAUGCCGGGGACUCUAACGGGACUGCCGGUGUCAAACCGGAGGAAGGUGGGGAUGACGUCAAGUCCUCAUGGCCUUUAUGCCCAGGGCCUCACACGUGCUACAAUGGGUGCUACAGAGCGACGCGAGACCGCGAGGUGGAGCUAAUCGCAAAAAAGCAUCCUCAGUUCGGAUUGCAGGCUGGCAAUUCGCCUGCAUGAAGUUGGAAUCGCUAGUAAUCGCGUAUCAGCUAUGACGCGGUGAAUGUGUUCCUGAGCAUUGUACACACCGCCCGUCAAGUGAUGGAAGCCGGGAGUACCCGAAGUCGGGUUGCUAACC
rnacentral:rRNA from 1 species